GCUCAAAUGUAUAAACAAGUGAGAACUGAGCAGCAUCAGACAGGCUCGGGGAAUAAGAUGGAUUCACAGGUCCAGGGCUUCAUGUUGCUGCUGCUAUGGGUGUCUGGUACCUCUGGGGACAUUGUGAUGACUCAGUCUCCAUCCUCCCUGGCUGUGUCAGCAGGAGAGAAGGUCUCUAUGAGCUGCAAGUCCAGUCAGAGUCUUUUAUACAGUGCAAAUCAAAAGAACUACUUGGCCUGGUACCAGCAGAAACCAGGGCAAUCUCCUAAACUGCUGAUCUCCUGGGCAUCAGAACGGUACACUGGGGUCCCUGAUCGCUUCACAGGCAGUGGAUCUGGGACAGAUUUCACUCUCACCAUCAGCAGUGUGCAGGCUGAAGACCUGGCAGUUUAUUAUUGCCAGCAGUAUUACAAUCUUGCCACAGUGCUUCAGCUUCCUACAUAA